UUGAUUAGACAGGAAAAGAGCAGCCAGCAGCGAGGAGGGAGGAGGAGAGGCCUCUCGGAGCUGUCGCGGGCCGGGCUGGGGCUGCGGGAGGCCGUCAGGCUGCGCGAGCGAUUGCUAAAAAAAAACACGAGCAGGGUUUUUAGUGUUUUGUUGAAACACGCACGGCAAAAUGUUUCCUCACCAAACGAAUGGGAAUUUUCUCCACUCGGGGAACCGCGCGAGCAGCUCCGCGGCUGCUGUCCCUCGGGGAGCCGGGAUCCCACUGCCGGGAGCUGCGGGCGGCAGUCGCAGUGCUGCGGCCGAGCUCGGAGCGAGCACCCCGUGAGCAGGGGCCGCUGCGCUGCCGGGGGGGCCGGGCAAGAACUGGCAAAGGGGAAAGCAAAGAUACAAAGUGCAGAGAGACGGGGUAACAUUUACAUGAGAAACAAUCCGCUCUCCAGCCCCCACCCACGGCGCUUCCCCUCGUUUCAGGAGCUGCCGGAGCGCAGGAAGGGAACGGUUCCUGGCAGAGGGACAGCGCUGCGAGGAGGCAGACGCGUUUCCAGGGCCGGAGAGAACGUAUGUGAGAAGGGGACGUGGGGGGAAUGGGGCCGAGGGCCGCCGCAGGGCUGCGCACUGCGCCCGGGCCUCACUGGGGCACGCGGCCUGCGUGGGGACGGGGCUGUGGGGCACGCGAUGCACACACACGAACACACGGAUAGAGGUGUGAGCACGCAGACGCUAAUAUUGCUGCCUACCGACGCCGAGGAUGUAAGAUGCAGUUUACGGGCCUAGCGCAACCCGCUCCUAUAAAUAAUACAUUCCGAUCACCGUGGCCUCAAAAUGUCAAUACCGCGCAGCCCCGCACAUUUGCAUAUCUUGAACUGCCUCAACUUGAAGCACGUCAGCUAUAUGCUUCUGUUUGUACUUUAACUUCAUCCCAGCUCCGGCCGAGCCCCGCGCCGCCCCCCGCGCGGCUCCGUCACGCAGCGAGCAGCGCCGUGCCCAGGGCCGCGGGGUUCGC
rnacentral:lncRNA from 1 species